rnacentral:rRNA from 1 species
UUUAUGGAGAGUUUGAUCCUGGCUCAGGAUGAACGCUGGCGGCGUGCCUAAUACAUGCAAGUCGAGCGAACGGAUGAGAAGCUUGCUUCUCUGAUGUUAGCGGCGGACGGGUGAGUAACACGUGGAUAACCUACCUAUAAGACUGGGAUAACUUCGGGAAACCGGAGCUAAUACCGGAUAAUAUUUUGAGCCGCAUGGUUCAAAAGUGAAAGACGGUCUUGCUGUCACUUAUAGAUGGAUCCGCGCUGCAUUAGCUAGUUGGUAAGGUAACGGCUUACCAAGGCAACGAUGCAUAGCCGACCUGAGAGGGUGAUCGGCCACACUGGAACUGAGACACGGUCCAGACUCCUACGGGAGGCAGCAGUAGGGAAUCUUCCGCAAUGGGCGAAAGCCUGACGGAGCAACGCCGCGUGAGUGAUGAAGGUCUUCGGAUCGUAAAACUCUGUUAUUAGGGAAGAACAUAUGUGUAAGUAACUGUGCACAUCUUGAC